AAGAGGUGUAUUAACAAUUAGAGCUGCUAACUCAA
rnacentral:tRNA from 2 species